ACCCGCUGAACUUAAGCAUAUCAAUAAGCGGAGGAAAAGAAACCAACAGGGAUUGCCCUAGUAACGGCGAGUGAAGCGGCAACAGCUCAAAUUUGAAAUCUGGCGUCUUUGGCGUCCGAGUUGUAAUUUGCAGAGGGCGCUUUGGCAUUGGCAGCGGUCCAAGUUCCUUGGAACAGGACGUCACAGAGGGUGAGAAUCCCGUACGUGGUCGCUAGCCUUUACCGUGUAAAGCCCCUUCGACGAGUCGAGUUGUUUGGGAAUGCAGCUCUAAAUGGGAGGUAAAUUUCUUCUAAAGCUAAAUACUGGCCAGAGACCGAUAGCGCACAAGUAGAGUGAUCGAAAGAUGAAAAGCACUUUGGAAAGAGAGUUAAAAAGCACGUGAAAUUGUUGAAAGGGAAGCGCUUGCAGCCAGACUUGCCUGUAGUUGCUCAUCCGGGUUUUUACCCGGUGCACUCUUCUAUAGGCAGGCCAGCAUCAGUUUGGGCGGUUGGAUAAAGGUCUCUGUCAUGUACCUCUCUUCGGGGAGAACUUAUAGGGGAGACGACAUGCAACCAGCCCGGACUGAGGUCCGCGCAUCUGCUAGGAUGCUGGCGUAAUGGCC
rnacentral:rRNA from 1 species